CUGCUGAGUCUGCUGCCCCCCGCGACCUGGUCCCGGAUAAAGCGGAAGACGACGAGUACGAGAGGCUGCAGACUUGAAACAACGAUGCUCUGAGACUCACAAAGAGAAAAGAAUCACAACUAGCAAGAUCUAAGUACUGUGAGAAGCAAGCACCACUGGCCUUUUUGGCACGAUCUCCAGUCCUGUUGGUGCCAAAACCCCGGAGAGACUUAUAAACAUUUUAGAAAAGUCAGACUUUAAACAGCUUCUUAUUCAGCUUCUCCUUCUAGCCUUAGAAGUACUUGUAGAGUGCUUUUUAUUUCUUUUUACUGUAAUCAAUAAGAAACAGUGCAAAUAAUACAAAGAAUAAUUUUAUGUUUAACUAAAACCUGCUGGUUUCUCUUGUUAACUCAAGUGUAUAUUAAAUCUGAGAAAUAUA